CCCCGGGUAGUACCGUGGGCAGCAGCAGGGCCCAGCCCGGCCGGGCCUCCCGGAGCCGCUGUGCCCACGGCGUGGGGCGGCCCGGCCGGCUGAGCCCCCUUUGCCCCGGCUGCCGGGGAGAGGGGAGGCUGCAGCCCGGGCUGGCUGCGUGCCAGGGGUCACGGCAGAGAGAGCCAGGCCGUGGCUGUGCCCGAUAACAGCGAGCAGCGGGGGAGAGGAGGAAAAGCCCCGGCAGCUGCCCGUGCUGCUGGCCAGGGCUGGGGGGAAUGUUCCCCGCCCAUCCUCCUUCCUUGGGCCUCAAGGGAGCAGCUCUGAGCGGCCGUCAUCAGAUCGAGGGGUGGAAAAGAGACCAGAGACCACAUGAGCACCUGGUACUUCGCCUGGGCAAGUUUUAACUCUUUCCUGCCGGCAGAUGGAACUCCCAGAGCACUGCCCCUUCCCAAAUCCAUCUCAUUUGGCCAGAAGAGCUUUGUGGCAGUCUCUUCCUGCCCUACCACUGCCCAUGUCCCUUCAGUGACCUCCAGGCUGAGAAUUUCAGCUUCAGAAAAAUGAGCAUAGUCUCGCAGCAUCUUGACUGAAGAGGAGGACAAGGUAUCAGCUGGAGACAGUGGGACAAAGUUGCCAAAUGCAAACCUGCUGUUGACAUGGAUAGUGCUUCCCAGGAGGCCUGGUCCUCGGCCCAGGGAGCCUCUGGGCGGAAGAUGGAAAGAAGCAAUACUCAUCAUCAGAAUAUCUAACUCAUUUCUUGAAACAAGCUGGAUAGCUAUGCAGGGAAAAGUUAUGCUUUCAGGAAGAAAUUUCACCUAAACUUUAAUUUCUGUUUUAAAUAUUAAUCAUAAUUGAUGACCUUAACUAUUCAACAGAGCAGUUCUUUGUAUUCUUCCAUGCUGUUGGGAAUUUUUGAGUGGUCUUCUCAGAGAUAAAAUGAAUGCUGCUGUAAAACUGUUUCACAAAAUAAAUUUGUAUGUUUCAGGAGAUGCUUCCUCCACAAUGAUGGAAAGAAAAAUGUAAUCAGCAUAACUUGGUGCAAUAAAAUGGUACAAAAAGCACUGGGAAGAAGUAAGUCCUUGAGAGUGACAAAUCCAAGGAUUUUUUUUUAUUUUUUCAUUCCACUUGAAAAAAAAACACAACAUAGUUAAAGCACUGUUAGAAUUGAUGUUGAUCUCUCUGGCUAACAUUUCAAUGAGUUAAAACUUCAGGGAUGUUUGGCUGUAUUCCAGUUUUUUCAGUUCUAUGCUCUUUUAAGAAUUUUAAUUUUUCUUGGAUAAUUAGAUCUCUGACAUUAGACGCAUAUAAUUAACAGGGAAAAUGGCUUGCAUGCUGACUAUAAUAGCACUGUCUGACCUGUUUGCCAGAUAACUGUUAUGACCUGGUUUCUUGGAAUCAUUUUAUUCCCACAGAUAGCAGCAGACAUGCCUAACUGGAACCACUUCAAUCUUUUUGAAAGGAUGAAAUCCUGGGACCUUUUACUGAUUUCAGUCGUUCCAGGAUUUUGUAUGCAUCUUCAAAAUUUCUUUUUAAGAUAAUCCUUUUUUAACUUUUUUUUUUUUAAUAGUUGAAUCUGAAUGAUUCCCCCAUGUCAAUAGAAUAAUAGGACUGAAACUUCAUGUGCAAAGCUGUAUUGCUCAGAGAUGUUUCUUAGAAUUGUCACAGAAGCUUUUACUGUAAUUUUCAAAAUGUGCCUUUCAGGGUGGGAGGGAGAUGUGUUCUCUUUAAACUAAAAUAUUAUCUUUAUCUGUCUGUUAUUAACCAAAGUUCAGGACUUGAGUGUCAUUCACGUCUUUUGCAAAAUUGUUCCCAAGACUUUUUUAAUAGCCUAUUUACCAACUGCUAAAUAAACACCACCUGACAAAAAAGGACUGGAAAAAAUGUUUUCAGCUGCUUGUUACCAUGUUUUUUUAUGCUACUUUCAACUUACUUUUUGCAUUUAGGUCAGAUACAGUUUUGGUUCACUAAAAUAAAACUUUCAUUUCUCAUUUUUUAAGGAGUUAAAAAUAUCCCCCUGGUCAGGGUGAGAGAACUCUCACCCGAAAGGCCUCAUGGGAGCUCCCUAUGUAGAUUAGACUAGAAAGUUCUUUGUCCCCCUUGUUACCAUUGGUUACUUUUUGCUGCAAUAGUAUUCAUAUUCGUAAUCCACUCUCCCAAUAAAUUCUCUGCCCUCAGACUCCACCCUUAUCCUACCCUGUAUAAGUUACUGUAAGCCCCUGGACCUUGCAUUUUUUGGUGCACCCUAUCCUAAGCUCAGUUUGCUGUUUGUUGUUUUGCAUUGUUUUUGCAUUUGUUAUUAAAGUAGU